UAAUAAUGAUAUGGUGGUGCAGUAUUCUAGUCAGACCAGUUUGCUUUGAAAACGGGGUUAAAAUACCGGAAAGGGCAUAUCGAUGAAGUUUCUUGUGCGUGCUUCCGUUGCCCAAACGGGGGGUGCGUACUGGGAGUUAAGGAUUAUGGGCGUGUCGCAACGGCAUGCGACGGGCGACCCAUUUUCCGUGGAGGCUCAACCUUGUGGGAUGCAAAUAAUUAGAUCCUAUGAAUUGAGAUUAAACCUGUCUCGUGGCAUUAUUAAGCUGCGAACAGUGUAGCCUGCCUUGAGUGAACAUAGCGGAUUGAGGAACAACGUAUAAUUCGGUAGGCCAUCGAAGAAUUACGAUUGCUUUGUGAAACUAUGAUUUGCAAAAGAGGCUGGAAGUGAGGUGGUUUGCCAAGGAAAGCUUCUAGACUGUGUGCACAGCAUAAAUAUAUUGGGGAUUAAAGUGUGGUCUAAAAGGCGAUUCAGUUUUACAUUUGGCGACAGUGUAAUGUUUCAUUUUAAGGGAAACCGCUCACAUCGGUGACGAUGAGUAUGAUACAAGGAAACCUUACUGAACCUAAGCCGCAAAGUUUACUCAAUAUAUUACCACCUAAUUUUGAA
rnacentral:sRNA from 1 species